GACAGAGGGUGCAAACGUUGCUCGGAAUCACUGGGCGUAAAGGGCGUGUAGGCGGGAAGGAUAGUCAGAUGUGAAAUCCCUGGGCUCAACCCAGGAACUGCAUUUGAAACUCCCUUUCUUGAGUGUCGGAGAGGAAAGCGGAAUUCCUGGUGUAGAGGUGAAAUUCGUAGAUAUCAGGAGGAACACCGGUGGCGAAGGCGGGUCUCUGGGCAGUAACUGACGCUGAGGAGCGAAAGCGUGGGGAGCGAACAGG
rnacentral:rRNA from 1 species